AUGAGGAUUUUAGUGUGGAACUGCCGGGGAUUGGGGAAUGGCCCGACAGUGAGAGGUCUUCUGGAUCUUCAGAAGGUGGACCCUGACAUCCUCUUCUUAUCUGAAACUAAACUAGAUAAAAGGAGGAUGGAGAAGUUUAAGUGGAAGCUAGGUAUGAGGAACAUGAUGACAAGGGAUUGUGAAGGAAAGAGUGGAGGGUUGGCAUUACUAUGGAAGAAUGAAGUAAACUUGGAGCUGCACAACUACUCCAGGUAUCAUAUUGAUGUAAAAGUAGUGGAGACAGAUGGUUUUAAAUGGCGCUUCACGGGCAUUUAUGGGGAGCCUGCAAGCGACAAAAAGAAGAUAACUUGGAAGUUAUUGCGCAGCCUUAAUCAACAGCUUAAUCUCCCAUGGUUAUGCGCUGGCGAUUUUAAUGAGAUCGUGUAUAGUCAUGAGAAGAAGGGGGGCCAGCUAGAAAACACAGUCAAAUGGAAAGUUUUAGAGCAGCCCUAG
rnacentral:rRNA from 1 species